rnacentral:rRNA from 1 species
AGAAUGAACGCUGGCGGCAUGCCUAACACAUGCAAGUCGAACGAAGGCUUCGGCCUUAGUGGCGCACGGGUGCGUAACGCGUGGGAAUCUGCCCCUUGGUUCGGAAUAACAGUUGGAAACGACUGCUAAUACCGGAUGACGACGUAAGUCCAAAGAUUUAUCGCCGAGGGAUGAGCCCGCGUAGGAUUAGCUAGUUGGUGUGGUAAGAGCGCACCAAGGCGACGAUCCUUAGCUGGUCUGAGAGGAUGAUCAGCCACACUGGGACUGAGACACGGCCCAGACUCCUACGGGAGGCAGCAGUGGGGAAUAUUGGACAAUGGGCGAAAGCCUGAUCCAGCAAUGCCGCGUGAGUGAUGAAGGCCUUAGGGUGUAAAGCUCUUUACCCGGGAUGAUAAUGACAGUACCGGAGAAUAAGCUCCGGCUAACUCCGCGCCAGCAGCCGC